GACGAACGCUGGCGGCGUGCUUAACACAUGCAAGUCGAACGGAAAGGCCCUGCUUGCCGGGUACUCGAGUGGCGAACGGGUGAGUAACACGUGGGUGAUCUGCCCUGCACUUCGGGAUAAGCUUGGGAAACUGGGUCUAAUACCGGAUAGGACCGCACUUUAGUGUGUGUGGUGGAAAGUUUUUUCGGUGUAGGAUGAGCUGGCGGCCUAUCAGCUUGUUGGUGGGGUAAUGGCCUACCAACGCGGCGGCGGGUAGCCGGCCUGAGAGGGUGUACGGCCACAUUGGGACUGAGAUACGGCCCAGACGCCUACGGGAGGCAGCAGGGGGGAAUAUUGCACAAUGGGCGCAAGCCUGAUGCAGCGACGCCGCGGGGGGGAGGAAGGCCUUCGGGUUGGAAACUCCUUUCGCUAGGGACGAAGCUUUUUGUGACGGUACCUAGAGAAGAAGCACCGGCUAACUACGUG
rnacentral:rRNA from 1 species